rnacentral:rRNA from 1 species
GAAUGACUCUCGGCAACGGAUAUCUAGGCUCUUGCAUCGAUGAAGAACGUAGCGAAAUGCGAUACUUGGUGUGAAUUGCAGAAUCCCGUGAACCAUCGAGUCUUUGAACGCAAGUUGCGCCCGAUUCCAUCAGGUUGAGGGCACGUCUGCCUGGGCGUCACAUAUCGUUGCCUGAUGCCU